GCCUAGUUAGCUUAGUUGGUGGCGCGUCUGCCUUGUAAGCGCUAUAGGCCGCGGGUUCGAUUCCCGCCCGGGGCG
rnacentral:tRNA from 1 species